rnacentral:lncRNA from 1 species
CGCCACGAGCGACGUUGCAUGGCCAGUAACCCAAUUUUGCUUUCCAAGGCUAAUUUCGAUGCUCUAAUCAGUUUUUAAUUUCCGUUGGUAGAGCCUAGUUUUGUAAAUGGCCUCCACUUGACCUUUGUUGUAGGCAAAGAUUCGACCGUUAGAUCGUUAGAAAAUUUUAGUGUGUUGUUGUGUAUAUUAUUUGAUGCUUUUAGGAAUUUACAGAUCGAAAAUCUGAUGUGCCAAUCCUUCAAAAUUGAUUACGUAGGGUUGUUAACCUUAUUGUUGACCCCGUUGACUGAGGGUUGACUUUUAAUUAACAUGUUCCGAAACAUUCUUGAAUGUUGAAUUUAGUAUUAUUAAAGACUCGACAGAGCCUAAUGGGCGUACCUUGAUCAGUGUGUCAUCCUGGGGAUGCACCUUGAUUUGGGUGCAAGUGGCACCUUACUAAGAUUUACAUGCUUAUUAGGCUUCUAGGAGAGAGUUGAUAGUGUGUGAUUGCUAGAAUAUGAUGAUGAGUCAAUAUAUCUAUUAUAAUUUUAGUAGAACUAGUACAUAUGAGUAUUCCGUGUACUAUACUUCUUAUGACUAGAUCAUACUUGGUUGAUACGUGAAACCAUUAGUGGUAUGUGUUCACUAUGGAAAUUAUGUUGGGUUGAUGAAUGACAUAUGAUGCAUGAUGUGUGAAAAUGAGACUAUACCAUGUAGUAGUGUGGUACAUAGAUGAUCUUGCCGAGUUAAUCAUCAUUGGGAGACCAUACUAUUAGUUGACACUCAUGGUUUUGCCUAGUUAAUUUGCAUUGGGGACCAUGCGCAUACUAGACGUGACUUUGCUUGGUAAAUCCGCAUUGGGGGGUCACUGCCUAGUGUUAUUGGAUAUGGUCCUGCUUUGUUAAUCCGUAUUGGGGGGCCA